GAUGAAGAACGCAGCGAAUUGCGAUAAGUAAUGUGAAUUGCAGAAUUCAGUGAAUCAUCGAAUCUUUGAACGCACAUUGCGCCCUCUGGUAUUCCGGGGGGCAUGCCUGUUCGAGCGUCAUUAUAACCACUCAAGCUCUCGCUUGGUAUUGGGGUUCGCGGUUUCGCGGCCCCUAAAAUCAGUGGCGGUGCCUGUCGGCUCUACGCGUAGUAAUACUCCUCGCGAUUGAGUCCGGUAGGUCUACUUGCCAGCAACCCCUAAUUUUUUUAAGGUUGACCUCGGAUCAGGUAGGGAUACCCGCUGAACUUAAGCAUAUCAAUAAGCGGAGGA
rnacentral:misc_RNA from 1 species